rnacentral:rRNA from 1 species
CUACUGACUAGCGGCGGACGGGUGAGUAAUGCUUAGGAAUCUGCCUAUUAGUGGGGGACAACAUUCCGAAAGGAAUGCUAAUACCGCAUACGCCCUACGGGGGAAAGCAGGGGAUCUUCGGACCUUGCGCUAAUAGAUGAGCCUAAGUCAGAUUAGCUAGUUGGUGGGGUAAAGGCCUACCAAGGCGACGAUCUGUAGCGGGUCUGAGAGGAUGAUCCGCCACACUGGGACUGAGACACGGCCCAGACUCCUACGGGAGGCAGCAGUGGGGAAUAUUGGACAAUGGGCGAAAGCCUGAUCCAGCCAUGCCGCGUGUGUGAAGAAGGCCUUUUGGUUGUAAAGCACUUUAAGCGAGGAGGAGGCUACUUGGAUUAAUACUCUAGGAUAGUGGACGUUACUCGCAGAAUAAGCACCGGCUAACUCUGUGCCAGCAGCCGCGGUAAUACAGAGGGUGCGAGCGUUAAUCGGAUUUACUGGGCGUAAAGCGUGCGUAGGCGGCUUUUUAAGUCGGAUGUGAAAUCCCUGAGCUUAACUUAGGAAUUGCAUUCGAUACUGGGAAGCUAGAGUAUGGGAGAGGAUGGUAGAAUUCCAGGUGUAGCGGUGAAAUGCGUAG